rnacentral:rRNA from 1 species
GACGAACGCUGGCGGCGUGCCUAACACAUGCAAGUCGAGCGAGUGAAUCUCCUUCGGGAGUGAAGCUAGCGGCGGACGGGUGAGUAACACGUGGGCAACCUGCCUCAUAGAGGGGGAUAGCCUUUCGAAAGGAAGAUUAAUACCGCAUAAGAUUGUAGCUUCGCAUGAAGUAGCAAUUAAAGGAGCAAUCCGCUAUGAGAUGGGCCCGCGGCGCAUUAGCUAGUUGGUGAGGUAACGGCUCACCAAGGCGACGAUGCGUAGCCGACCUGAGAGGGUGAUCGGCCACAUUGGGACUGAGACACGGCCCAGACUCCUACGGGAGGCAGCAGUGGGGAAUAUUGCACAAUGGGGGAAACCCUGAUGCAGCAACGCCGCGUGAGUGAUGACGGCCUUCGGGUUGUAAAGCUCUGUCUUCAGGGACGAUAAUGACGGUACCUGAGGAGGAAGCCACAGCUAACUACGUGCCAGCCGCCGCGGUAA